rnacentral:rRNA from 1 species
AUUGAACGCUAGCGGGAUGCUUUACACAUGCAAGUCGAACGGCAGCGCGGACUUCGGUCUGGCGGCGAGUGGCGAACGGGUGAGUAAUGUAUCGGAACGUCCCCAGUAGCGGGUGCUAACUACGCGAAAGCGUAGCUAAUACCCCAUACGCCCUACGGGGGUAAGCAUGGGAUCGUAAGACCUUGCACCCUUGGACCGUCCGAUAUCGGAUUAGCUAGUUGGCUAGGUAACGGCUCACCAAGGCGACGAUCCGUAGCUGGUUUGAGAGGACGACCAGCCACACUGGAACUGAGACACGGUCCAGACUCCUACGGGAGGCAGCAGUGGGGAAUUUUGGACAAUGGGGGCAACCCUGAUCCAGCCAUCCCGCGUGUGCGAUGAAGGCCUUCGGGUUGUAAAGCACUUUUGGCAGGAAAGAAACGUCGCGGGCUAAUACCCCGUGGAACUGACGGUACCUGCAGAAUAAGCACCGGCUAACUACGUG